rnacentral:lncRNA from 1 species
AUGGCAGCUGCCCAAAGUCGAGUGGACCUGGAGGCUGUUAUUCAGAGCCAGCUGAGUAAUGGGAGGAGGGGGAAGGGACAACGGAACAGGCCAGGUGGUAGCCUGUCCCGCAGAAGCCAAAGCUCAGACACUGCCUCGCUGUCCCAAAUGCUUCUCACCAAAAGUGAUGAAAGCCAUGCACCUCCCAAGCCUAAGAGCUCCCAGACUGAGUGGUCUUCUACUACAAGACGAAGAGGGAGAGGCAGAGGAAGAGGGAGGGGGAGAGGCAGAGGCAGAGGUCAGAGACAAGGGAGGGGCCUUUAUGUUCAGUCUUCCCCCAGCGUUGACUCUGUAGCAUCAGAACCUUUGAAGGCUGAUGCUAGUCCACUCUCUAACACAGAAUCCUUUGCUGUGACCCCUGAGAAGGAACUGUACCCAAUCUUUUGCUCAGAUAAAGAGAUGAUCAAAAGUUGUACUGUUGUCCAUUGCAGCAACAGCAACUCACAGGGUGGUAAAAAAGAUGAGCUUCAAGCUGGAAACUGCUCCUCUACAAGGUCAAACACUUGUGAAUCCCUCUUUCUCCAGCCUUCAGGGCAUACACUCUUGUUCUCACAGGUCUUCACUGUCAAAAGAAGGGACUUUGGGCUCAGUUCCCUUCUUUCGCUGCUUGACAUCAAAGACUUCCACCUUCCCGAUGAUGAGUUUGGGAGGCUUAAACUGGACAAACUCCGGUCCUCAGCCACAAUGGGUUUAGAAGCCUUUGAACCUCAUCGAUCCUCAUAUAUCACCCGUUGGAGGGCAUCAAGGGCAACUUUAGACUUGAAAAGCUCUCAGGAGGCAGUCAGGAGCCUGUCUUCCACAGACUGUCAGCCAUUUGUUCCUGUGACAUCCACUAAGGAAACAACUGGUCUUCUUAAUGAUGCUAGCUUGGUAAACAAGACCACACAUGUGAGACAGACAGCAGCCAUGGACAACUGGAAGGCUGUGCUUCCAGAUGGAGGAAAUGACACCUACAGCCUCUCUCAGGAAAAAGCAAGUAAAGCAGAGUCAGCAACGAACUCUUCUCCCAGAGUGCCACCGAACCCAAAUUCAAGUGAGCUGGGUCUUGUUGAGGACAGAAUGCACUCCCAGGGUAUGGAAAUAGAUGGAGGGAACAUCAGGGAGACUACAGACCGUGCACUAAUGGACAUGGGAGCAGAAUCCAGUCCAAGAAGGAGACAUUCAGUUGUGGCUACGAUGGCAACAUCUCCUCAUGUGCUCAAUUUCAGCCCAGUUCCAACUUUGCCAUGUCAAAAAAAUGAUGACUCAACUCUGCCCCUUUGGGGAAGUCCUACUUUUCCCUCUUUGGGAGUAACCCCUGCUUUCCCUCUUCAUCCGAGCCUCCCAUUGCAGAACUGCUCCCCUUCUGCCUCUCCUAAAGCGCCAAGUCAACUCCCCCAGUCAACAACGCCGUCAGCUGCACAUGGUACAAAAACGCAGAUUGCUGUCACAGAGAAGCCAGUUGGAGACUUGUCACCCUCCGUUCCUUGCCAUACAUCAUUCAUGAAAAUCCAAGAUGAAUUCCACAAAGCCACAUCUGUUGAGUUGGAAGAGACAGAAUUUAACAUGUCCAUAUCAUCUACAGAGGGGUAUCUAUCAAUAACAAAAGGCAAUUUACACACUUCACUGGAACCUUCAGACUCACUUUCUGCUUCCAUCUUUGACGGUCUUAAUUGUCAGCUACCUUCUCCAACAUUUUCAUCACAUUCAGAGCAUCCUCUCAUCAAAGUACCUGCCCAGGGCUGCAGUGCAACCCCAUGCCGGCUGCAAGAAAAGGUGGGAGAGAGAGGUCAACUCUGUCAAUCUCCAAGGUCAGAGCCUACAUCACUUCCAUUACUUAAUUUCUCCCAAAUUCAGGAGAAUAUUGACUCUGUAAAACACAACCUGACUGCCUUCGUUUCCCCACCUCACACAUCAGUGAAAAACUUUGCUGAUGCUGAGGAGAACCCCCCCGGCUCUCUAGAGAAGAACAGUGAAACUGCUUGUGGUCUGAAUGUACCCAGCAUUGAACCACAAAAAGAUGAGACUUUUGUUGAGGAUAGUAUUGCUUCUCCGGACUGCCACUUUGCUAGUGGACCAGACGGUGGGGAGAGAGACCUGGACUGUUACUUUACAGACUCGACAUGUCCACCGGGGACCGAGAUGAUGCCUCCUCGCAGACAGUCCUCACCAUGUCAGGACUUCGCUGUGAUACCAUUGGAGAUGCAUGCUGAGCGGUCCCCUGAGGUACCAGCAGAGAAUCCUGCUGAGAUCCUACAGCUUGAGAACAGUCUGAAGGCAAGUCUCGCUUCUUCUGUACGUUGA